GUUUGGGUUUCGCUUCCUCGGAGAAACUUUGUGCAGAUUAUCUCUCGUCCUUCGAGUUCCGAUUUUAUCAAGACGACGAAAACCUUCGUCGGUGAUUGGCUUGUACGAUUCGUACCGUUAUCACUUAUAACCAGCCGCUGCGAGAGAGCGUUUGUCAAAGCUCUUGCGCCUGUGCCGACAAUGAAUUGGGAAUAGGGUUUCGCCGUUUUCUGAGGGUUUCGCUUCCUCGGAGAAACUUUGUGCAGAUUCAACUAUUCUCCUUUUUGUUGGAGUAGUCUACUUGGGACCGGAGCUUCGACGCCAUCAGUAGCAUUGUUAGUUUGUACACACGUUGGCGGACGGAUCUCCUUCGGAGAAGGCACCAUCUAUUCCGGCGAAGAGGAAACAGAGAUAGAUCAAGUGAUAGAGCUCCGAGACCAUAAGGAGCUAAACCCCUGACACAUAGGGUGAGUUCUUGGACUAGGGGGGUGUAAUUUCCGUAGAGUUGUGUUGUUUUGGGUAUGUGAUGGUAAUGUAUAUAUAUGUAUAUUGAUAUUCUGGGUAUUGUAUUUUGGUUGUUAAGUUUAUACUAUCUUCCACUGUUAGGUUGUAUAAAUGAUAUGACUUUUUACCUAGUACCCAAUGUGGGUCGGAUCAUAUGAGUGGUAACAGGGUUAUUGACAUGGCCAAUUUGUGAAUAUUGUUGAUGAUGUGUAAAGAUUUAUUAUUGUAAAAAAAAUUGGUACGAAAA